UUGUUACUUUAAUUAUCCUCUUUCUUCUUUCUUAUAAUUCUUGAUUUUUAUUUUGGUAUUAUUUGAUCAGGAAUCGAAGAGAAAAUCUGGGGCGAUCAAAAAGGGAACUAUUGGAAAAGGAAUGCUGUAAAGGUUUGAUUUAAAAAUUGCUGGGAAAAUUCUUCUUGGUAACAUCUGAACCUUUCCUAUUUAAAUUGAUUCCCAACUAGCCUGAAAUUUUAUGGUGAUUGUUUGAUUUUAAUUUCAGCAAAAGUGUGAAUGCAUGCUUGAUACACAUACACCAAUUAAUCUACACAUAGUUAGGGCAAUCACCCCAACAAGAUAAGAACUGGAUUUCAUCACCAGAUUCUUGCCCAAAUUAGGCGAAUCAAUUCUCACGUAGUUACCACUUUAAUUAAAAUCAAUUAGACAUUGGCCCCUAGGGACAUUCGAGCUCAAUAGGACGAAGAUCACCGAAAGUUGCACCAAUUUCGCUAUGUGGCUUAGUUGAUGCCUAGGCAAGCUUUGUCCCAAGGGAGACAGUUCAUCUGUUCGAGGCAAGUAGUUUUUAAGUGGGACCUUUGCAACACAUCGUGACCCCCCACUUACCUGGGAGCUUACCUGGUCAACUCAGUUCAUUAGACUGGAUUGGAGGCUUAGGUGCCCUUUUCAAACCAGUUAGGAGCUGUCUAGUGAUUUUAGGGCAAACACAAGGACUUGAUGUGUUUUUCUUUUAGUGCAUGCUUGACUGUACUUGACUGACCAGAAAGGUAUUGGUGUAUGCUAGGGUGUCGUUCCAGAUCUCCUGAAUUAGUACCUUUUGAUUCUAAAAUAGAGCAUUCUAUUAGGGCCCUUCGAGCCGAAAUCCGUACCUAUAGAAC
rnacentral:lncRNA from 1 species